rnacentral:rRNA from 1 species
GACGAACGCUGGCGGCGUGCUUAACACAUGCAAGUCGAACGGUGAACCUUUUCUGAGGUGGUCAAUGGCGAACGGGUGAGUAACACGUGGCCAACCUGCCCCCGGCUCUGGCAUAACUCCACGACUUAUAGGCCAAUACCGGAGGUUCACCGCUUCGCGCAUGGGUGGGGGUGGACAGGGUUGUAGUCUGGGGAUGGGUGCGCGGCCUGUGAGCCAGUUGGUGGGGUAGUGGCCUACCAAGGCGACGACGAGUAGCCGGCCGGAGUGGGUGACCGGCCACACUGGGACUGAGACGCGGCCCAGACUCCUACGGGAGGCAGCAGUGGGGAAUAUUGCGCAGUGAGCGGAGGACUGACGCAGCGACGACGCGUGGGGGAUGACGGCCUUCGAGGUGUAGACCUCUUUCAGCAGGGACGAAGCGCAAGUGACGGUACCUGCAGAAGAAGCACCGGCUAACUACGUG